UACGUAGGGGGGCAAGCGUUGUCCGGAUUUAUUGGGCGUAAAGAGCGUGUAGGCGGCUUGGUAGGUCCGCUGUGAAAACUCGAGGCUCAACCUCGAGAUGUCGGCGGAAACCGCUUGGCUAGAGUCCGGAAGAGGAGAGUGGAAUUCCUGGUGUAGCGGUGAAAUGCGCAGAUAUCAGGAAGAACACCUAUGGCGAAGGCAGCUCUCUGGGACGGUACUGUCGCUGAGACGCGAAAGCGUGGGGAGCGAACGGG
rnacentral:rRNA from 1 species